rnacentral:rRNA from 1 species
UACGUAGGGUGCAGGCGUUAAUCGGAAUUACUGGGCGUAAAGGGCGCGUAGGCGGCGCGGUAAGUCACUUGUGAAAUCUCUGAGCUUAACUCAGAACGGCCAAGUGAUACUGCAGUGCUAGAGUGUGGAAGGGGCAAUCGGAAUUCUUGGUGUAGCGGUGAAAUGCGUAGAUAUCAAGAGGAACACCUGAGGUGAAGACGGGUUGCUGGGCCAACACUGACGCUGAGGCGCGAAAGCUAGGGGAGCGAACGGG